rnacentral:misc_RNA from 1 species
AAAGAUCGCAGCCUCGUUUCACUCGACAGCUGCUACAGGGAUUUGUGUAGCAGCUGUCGAGUGAAACGAGGCUGCGACCUCU